AUCCACUACACCCCUUACAUCCACUCAUUACCAAACAUUCAUCCACUACACCCAUUACAUCCACUCAUUACCAAACAUCCACCCACUACACCCAUUACAUCCACUCAUUACCAAACAUUCAUCCACGACACCCAUUACAUCCAUUCAUUACCAAACAUCCACCCACUACACCCAUUACAUCCACUCAUUACUGAUGUGAAAAAUAAGUUAACACACAAAAUUAAACCCUCUUUUUAUCAAAUGUAGUAAAGUAUGUAAG
rnacentral:lncRNA from 1 species